UGAGAUGCACCUACUUCUCCCUGGAGAAGCUCGAGGAAGCAGGAAUACUGAAGAUGAGGUGAGGAGGAGAGGGUCCCUCUUUAUGGGAUGUAGGCCGUAGGGCUGCAGGGGACCUUCAGAUCACCAGUUGCAAUUCCUAUGCAUGCUAGCAUCCCCUCCUGGGUUCCUUCCCCCCAAGAAUGGUUGCCAGCUUCUGCCAAACACCCCAGAACCUGCUGGGAGUGGUUUCAAAUCAUGAGUGAGGAUCCCCGGGAUGGUGGGUGGCUGUUGCUCCGCCUGUAGCGUCUUGUAUGAAGGACUAGAACUUGCAUAAUGAGCUGGAUAGUCACCGUGUGGCUGCUAGCGGGGAAGCCCAUGGUGGCUACAUAAGAGCUCCCUUUUCCAACUCUCCCAGCUGCCCCUCACUCUCACUCCUGGGUGUGCUGGGCAGUGGGGUGCAAUGCGCACGUGGGUGCACACUCUCCCUGAGACCUCCCACAGAGGUCUCAUCUGUGGUCGGAUGAGGAGAGGAAGUCCAAGUAAAGCAGCUGCAGCGGUGAGUGGGCCUAGAAGAAUGGCAUCACCAGGCCAGGUAGGGAUGCGGGUGGUGUUCAGCUAUCCCUGAGAAAGGGACCAGAAUGCACCUGAGUCUUCAUUUUCAUUCCCAAUAGCAGGUCAGCACCAGACCCGAAAACGCUCUGAUUUCUGCCCUCCACGCCAUACUCUCUUCACCUGCUGCCUCCUCAUUCCUCCCAUUAACAAUGUCCUGGCAGGAACAAGACUUUCCCCUCCCUCUCUGCUUGUCUCUUAGCAGGAAGUCCUUGUCUUUUCCAAAGAUCCUGCUUUGCAGCUGACCAUACCCGCUGCCCGUCUCCGCCAGGAUAAUGCCUCCUUCCUGAAACCACAGCCCCACUCAGGUCUUCCUUCCAUCCUAAUCCCUGGGGAGCCCCCUGCAGAGCUCCCUGUCCAUCCCAGUGGCCUUCUGAGCCUUGCCUCCCCUCCCUUCCCCUCCCUUCCCUUUCCUUCCCUUCCCUUUCCUUCCCUUCCAUUCCCCUCCCCUCCCCUCCCCUCCCCUCCCCUCCCCUCCCUCCCCCUUACCUCUCCCUCGCCUCUCCCUCACCUCUCCCUCCAUGGCAGGCUAGCCUCCCUGGCUAGAGCUGUCCCCUGGGAAUUUGCCAUCACUUUCCCUCUCUGUGCUCAGCAUCCCUGGUUGAGAGGUUUAGGAGGAAGAGGAGAGGACGAGAGGAGGAGAAGAGUCCCUCUCUUCCGCCCACAUGCUCCCCUAGGGAAGCAUUGUUUUUGCUCAGCGUGAUUUCUGUGCGACUCCUCCUGUUUUCUGAGCCUGUCACCCCCUUCCUCUUCCCUUGGCUCCCCACUGAGACUUUCCAGAGUGCAGCCACCUCCCCUCGCUGUGCUUCUUUGACUCUGAGGCCCAGGAGGAAGUUGCCCUCCUCUGGAGAGGCUUCGCGUUUGAUCCAGCCUAGUGUUCUGGGACCGCUUUGACCCUAAUUCAUGAUUUCCCUUCAGAUGCUUCUUGUUUGGCCUGCCUUCCUCGUCUAGGAAAUGGAUUUUGCUCAUUUUUCUAUUGAGUCACUUGCCUUGUUGGUAUGGAGUUAUAGGAGCUCUUUCUGAAUUCUGCCUCAAACCCCAUGUUGGUUUUUUGUAUUUCAGAGACCACAUCUGCUCAGGGGUUUAUUCUUCCAUCUGUUUGCAGGGCUGUUUUGGACUCAGUAUUCACCUAAGCACUCCAAACUGUAAGUAACCCCAGAGCUCAUGGAGUGUCCCACUGCCCCUCCAUCUGGAGGCUGUGGCACCUCCCCCGAAGAGGAGGUGCUUGCAUGCGUCCAGUGCCCUGCCCAUUAGAUUAGAGAGGGCUCCCUUCUUUGCUCUCUUGCACUCAUUUGUCUGCCUUUUAGCUUUCCUUUUCUGCCCUGGACUCACACAGGGUCGCGUGAACGUGUGGUGUAGCAGGAGGAGACAGGUAAAGUGGAGGAAUAGGAGCUGGAGGGGAGCAGAAGGGAAGAAAAGAGGAGGGGGAGGGGAAAGAGAGGGAGUGGGUGGAAGGAGGAGAAGGGGAGGAGGUGAAGGAGGAGAGGAGGACACAGAAAAGAGAAGAAAAAGGAGAGGAGGAGACAGGAGGAGGAGCAGCAAAGGAGGAAGAAGAGGAAGAGGACAAGAAGAGCAAGUAAGGAGGAGGAGGGGGGAGUGGGAGGAGUAGGAAGAGAGAAGGACCGAAGG
rnacentral:lncRNA from 1 species